rnacentral:rRNA from 1 species
AGAGCACAAAGGCUUGGUCCAUGGCCUUGUUAUCAGUUGUCUCUUAACUUACACAUGCAAGUCUCAGCACACCCGUGAGGACGCCCUUUACCCCUUCUUUAGGCUAAGGAGCUGGUAUCAGGCACACCAACCUGCCCACAACACCUAGUCCCACCACGCCCCCAAGGGUAUUCAGCAGUGAUAAAUCUUGACCAUAAGCGCCAGCUUGAAUCAGUUAAAGAGAAGAGGGCCGGCCAACAUGGUGCCAGCCGCCGCGGCUAGACCAAUGGGCCCAAAUUGAUAACAUUCGGCGUUAAGCGUGAUUAAGGCUAACCCAUAAUUAGAGUGAAACUUAUACUAAGCCGUGAAAAAGCACACAAUAAGGAACCCCAAAAACGAAAGUUACUCUAAUCCUGCUUGAACACACGACAGCUAGAGAA